rnacentral:rRNA from 1 species
GAAUAAGCAUCGGCUAACUCCGUGCCAGCAGCCGCGGUAAUACGGAGGAUGCGAGCGUUAUCCGGAUUUAUUGGGUUUAAAGGGAGCGUAGACGGGUUUUUAAGUCAGCUGUGAAAGUUUGGGGCUCAACCUUAAAAUUGCAGUUGAAACUGGAGACCUUGAGUACGGUUGAGGCAGGCGGAAUUCGUGGUGUAGCGGUGAAAUGCUUAGAUAUCACGAAGAACCCCGAUUGCGAAGGCAGCCUGCUAAGCCGCCACUGACGUUGAGGCUCGAAAGUGCGGGUAUCAAACAGGAUUAGAUACCCUGGUAGUCCGCACGGUAAACGAUGGAUACUCGCUGUUGGCGAUAGACUGUCAGCGGCCAAGCGAAAGCGUUAAGUAUCCCACCUGGGGAGUACGCCGGCAACGGUGAAACUCAAAGGAAUUGACGGGGGCCCGCACAAGCGGAGGAACAUGUGGUUUAAUUCGAUGAUACGCGAGGAACCUUACCCGGGCUUGAACUGCAGUGGAAUUAUCCGGAAACGGAUAAGCGAGCAAUCGCCGCUGUGGAGGUGCUGCAUGGUUGUCGUCAGCUCGUGCCGUGAGGUGUCGGCUUAAGUGCCAUAACGAGCGCAACCCUUGCUGCCAGUUACUAACAGGUCAUGCUGAGGACUCUGGCAGGACUGCCAUCGUAAGAUGCGAGGAAGGUGGGGAUGACGUCAAAUCAGCACGGCCCUUACGUCCGGGGCUACACACGUGUUACAAUGGGGAGUACAGAGGGCAGCUACCGGGCGACCGGAUGCGAAUCCCGAAAGCUCCUCUCAGUUCGGACUGGAGUCUGCAACCCGACUCCACGAAGCUGGAUUCGCUAGUAAUCGCGCAUCAGCCACGGCGCGGUGAAUACGUUCCCGGGCCUUGUACACACCGCCCGUCAAGCCAUGAAAGCCGGGGGUACCUGAAGUACGUAACCGCGAGGAUCGUCCUAGGGUAAAACCGGUAAUUGGGGCUAAGUCGUAACAAGGUAGCCGUACCGGAAGGUGCGGCUG